rnacentral:rRNA from 1 species
UGGCGAACGGGUGAGUAACACGUGGGUAACCUGCCCAUCAGAAGGGGAUAACACUUGGAAACAGGUGCUAAUACCGUAUAACACUAUUUUCCGCAUGGAAGAAAGUUGAAAGGCGCUUUUGCGUCACUGAUGGAUGGACCCGCGGUGCAUUAGCUAGUUGGUGAGGUAACGGCUCACCAAGGCAACGAUGCAUAGCCGACCUGAGAGGGUGAUCGGCCACACUGGGACUGAGACACGGCCCAGACUCCUACGGGAGGCAGCAGUAGGGAAUCUUCGGCAAUGGACGAAAGUCUGACCGAGCAACGCCGCGUGAGUGAAGAAGGUUUUCGGAUCGUAAAACUCUGUUGUUAGAGAAGAACAAGGAUGAGAGUAAAACGUUCAUCCCUGACGUAUCUAACCAG